rnacentral:rRNA from 2 species
GGACUACUGGGGUUUCUAAUCCUGUUUGCUCCCCACGCUUUCGUGCCUGAGCGUCAGUGUUAGCCCAGGGGGCUGCCUUCGCCAUCGGUGUUCCUCCACAUCUCUACGCAUUUCACUGCUACACGUGGAAUUCCACCCCCCUCUGCCACACUCCAGCCAUCCAGUCCUCACUGCAGUUCCCAGGUUAAGCCCGGGGCUUUCACAGCAAGCUUAAAUAGCCGCCUGCGCACGCUUUACGCCCAGUAAUUCCGAUUAACGCUCGCACCCUACGUAUUACCGCGGCUGCUGGCAC